CAAUACUCAGAACUUAUGAGCACUCAUGAGUGUUGUAGCCCUUUGUCCAACACCUUAGACCUCUACAAGCCAACCCAUGACAGUCUUAAUUCAUAUCUACUUCCAACAUAUGACCGACUGUGGAUGGUUUGAAUAACUUAGUCAUUCCGGAAGAAUAACCUAGUUUAUUCGGGAAGUCAAAACAUGCAAAGUGAAACACAAUAAUAAUUGAAUCCAAUAUGGUAUCAACCCUUUGAACAUAAAUAAAACACCUUUUAUUUAUCACCAUAUGAUUACACAUUAUUCAUUGUAUACUGUUUCAGCUAUCAACUUUAUUCUUGAAUUUAAAACAAUAGUUGUCCCAUGCUCCAAGCAUGUACACUAUGUUUUCUUAAACACUAGUCAUGCCACACACCAAGUAUGCAUACUAUGUUUGUCUAUGAUCUUUACUUUGUGAACUAGAUCAAUUGAACAUAACUUCAAUGAUUCUCUUUUCACACUCCCAAAUCCUUACUGCAAAUGCAAGAAUUCCAAAUUCAUGCCAUUUACUGAAAUCUGUUAGAUUCUAAACUUAUAUGCAUUGAUCCUCUUGUAAUGAUUAUGCACAAAGUCACAAAGACUUGGCAACAAUCAUUACAGAGUAUUCCAAAGGAGAUCAACUCCUUGGAAAUAUCCUUCUUGCAUUAAGUUUCCUUAAUCUUACACAGAUUGAAAAUUCUAACUUUGAAACAUUUCCAGAUUCCAUUUUGACUAUCACUUCUGAACAAGAGUUGCCUCCUUACAGAUUAUGUCAAUAUGGUCCUUCCAGAAUUAUCACUAUACUUCCAAUUGUCCUUGAGUAACCAAUCUUUGGUAAACCUUAGAUUGUCCUCGACAAUUGUUUAAUCCUUUUAGUCAUAUCCAGUUCUAAACCUUUUCCCUUCUUAAUGCCCCAGGCAUUUGGAAAAUUUUAGAACGGAUGAAUAUAGCACAUGUAAUCGAUCCUAUAUCCGAAGCAUAUGGGACACGAUUCAUGAUGUCUUACAUAAAGACUAAACCAGUCUUUUGCUAUAAUAUUUCCAUUUCAAUUUGCCAAGUUCUCAUAAUUCAGAUUAUGAAAAGGGAUGCCGUAAUCAUAAUCGAAUUUUAGAACGCAAAUAAUGGACCCAUAUACAGAAUUUCCUUAUGUUGAGCCAUUCCAACAUGAAAUUCAUAUAUAUCCUUGACUAAAUGAUUAAAACCUCACGAUCUAAGCUUAUAGAUUUGAGAUGAAGCAUAAUUUCCUCUCCCUUAAUUAUAGCAAAACAACUUUUUCCCAAUUGAAACUUUUGUUUUCUAUAAUUAACAUUGCUAACUUGCAAUACUUAUCAUAAUUAUCAUGCUCCCACUAACAUGAUGAUUAUUAGCAUAACACUUAUGCUCCCACUAGCUUUGACAUGUACUCAGAAAUCAGCUGGACAGUCUGAAAUUUAGAUUCAUACACCCUUUCCGUAGAUAGCUCACCUGUGUGUCUAAGCAAUUUCAAGAACCAUGAAAAGGGAUACCGUAAUCAUGGUCUCAAUUGCUUAGGCAUUUGCCAUUUCUCACAAGUCCAUGUUAGUGUGCCGGUUAACCACACGCGCUCCACUAACGACUUUUGAAAAUGCAAAUAACACAAUUGAUAUCUUCGUAAAAUCUACUUAGUGAAAGCGUUUCCUCACCAUCAUUUUCAUGAAUCGGAGAGAAACCUUAUGACACUUAGAUUUAUAUGGUGUAUGAGUUCCUACCCAUAUGAAUUUGUCAAACCAUAAUCACAAGACAAAGAUAAUGACAAAUCCAAAACCAUAUGGAUUGAACUCAAUCUUAACUUCUUGCCACCUGGCAGCUCAAGGGCCUGCCAUUGCUUCCAAGUUGUUGUGCAACAAAUUGAGAACUCUAAGAACUCAUAUGCAAAACCAACUUUAACUGGAAUGGGCACAGAAUAUGUCAACACGAUAGGUUAUGAACCUCAAGUCGUGUGCUAGUGAAGAACUUUAGGUUUUAUUCUUGAUUAUUUCUUGAGACUUUCAAGACCUUUAAGACUCCCACUGUCCUCUUGACAUAUAAGACUCCCUUGUCAAACAUCCAAGAGAUAGUGCGGAUUCUAAUCAAGAAAAACACUUUACCCAAUUGGCCUAAGUUGGUCUUUGUUUUAUCCAAAACAUCACAACUUACCAAUUUCAAAUGUACAAGAGUAGAAAACUUUUACUCUUACAUUUGACAAGUGUUUUAAACCUUCUUUAAGACAUGUCACUCAAAUGACAAUCUUGGAGUAUGACUCUAAGACUUGUAUUGGAACGAAGUAUGACUCAUCUUCUUGAUUUAACCAUUUCAACAAUUCAAGUUCCUCUUCUUAGUCAUAAGAAUGCACUAAGAUUUCCUUAGAGAACUAAUUUUGAUAUGGUUUCUUAAUCAUUAAGAUGAUCACAAAACUGAUACUAAAGUACUCUCCCAUCUUUUCAGAUUUGAGAAACUUUUAUCCUUCUGCCUUAUUUGAUUCUUCUUAUCGAUCUUUAGUGGUGGACUUAAUCAGUGCACAAGAAUGUGUACUCGAUCCCUAAGUCCUUUACUUGACUCACACAUCCAUGUGAACAAGUAAUUAGUCUUAAUUUUCCAAAACUUGAAAGUUCUCAUUCAUCAUGCUAUACAACUUGCAUGAUUCCAAGUUCCGGUCCAAUUGAAACUUGGGUGAUGAGAAUCUUUCCUUAUUUGGUAAAUUUAGACAUUACCACAAAUGAAAGAAUCAAUUUCAUACUUCCACUCUUGCUACUAAUGGAAUCUUAUAAGCAACAAAAAUUUCCACAGAUGCCAUUGUAAGGAUAUUUUAAAAUAAAUAAAAUCAAAAAUUUCCUUUUAUUUUAAAACUUUGCGGAAAAACUAUCCUUACAAUCCAUAUGAAAACUUGUUGUUAUCUAUUCCUAAGCAAUAUCUCAUAACUCCUAAGAAGUAGCUCAAGAAUCCGAUUUUUCAAACUAUGCGAUAGAAAUCCAUCUAUGCGAUCAGAUUCAGCAUAUUCUUCCUUUAAGUUUCUUCACUUUCCUUUGAUUCUUAAACCAUCACCAUGCGACCCGGUCACAUCAUGUAUCAAGAAUCUCAGAAUAGAAACUUAACAGAGUUAGAUAGUGGAUUUUACCUGAAGUAGAGUCAAACUUAUUGACUUUAACAUCCUUAGGUAAAUUUGGCAGCUUCGCAACCAAUGCCCUUUCUUUGGCAAUACAAACAUAUGGACCCUUUGAUAAUGGUACACAGGACUAUCACAGACUUAGCUUUUCUCUUUACCAUUUGGUCAACCGAGUUGACUAUAGCCGAUCCCUUUCCAUUGGGAAGAGAAUGCUUUACUGGAUAUCCAAUGUCAUCAUUGUCAAUGUCCAUAAAGUUUUAGGAAGUUGAUCUUAGCAAAUAGAUAAGAUCAUUAAGGGUCUUGUCAUAGUCUGUUUCAUAGGUGUCCCAAAGGAACUCACUAUGUGACUUAGAAAGUGGUUGAACCACCAACUUUCUCAAGACUUUGACACCCAACUCUCCCGGCUUGUCAAUAUGUGACUACAUCUCCAAGAUGUGACCACACCUAGACCUUGCCUUGCCAAUAGGGCCUGAGUGACCUUAAACUUUUCAAGAACUUGUGGGUUAGGGAGAAUAAUUUGAAGAGGUGAAGAAGUAUGAUAUCCAUGGGACAUCAUCUUCAUUAGGAAACCUUGUUUCAAGAGAUUUGGGAAGAUCAUAGGUGUCUAAACCAGACAUCUUUUGGGAGAUAUUCAAGAUAGUUGAUUUAAAGUCCUUAAUAUGACACCCAAUAUGAAAUAUUAAGGCUAGGACCCAACAAACUAUUUUAUAACUUAGAAGAGGUAUGCCGUAAUCCAAGCUAUAAAAUAUUUGAAGGUAGGUGAAUGACGAUUCACCAAUUUCCACCAAGAUAAACGAAAUGUAUUAUUAGGUUUUAAUUGGUUUUGAAACUCCUAGAUCUUUGAGAUUCAUUGAACUUUUCAAAGGCAUGUUUCAAUCUCGAGUGUGCCCUUCAGGUUUUGUGACUGGGAUGCCGAGGAUCACAAAACAAGGUGUGAAGUAACCAUGCAAAUCACUUGGUACCCUUAAUAAAUUACCCCUCAAUCGAUGUGCCGGUUAACCACACACGCUCCAUCGAUACUAUGAUAAAUAUUAAGUCACCCUUUACCUACCUUGUUAAGUCCAAGUUAGUGUGCCGGUUAACCACACACGCUCCACUAACGACUUAGACAAAGUGUAAAGUGUAAUUUCAUGGAUUAGCACCUUAUUCACAUUUUUCCUAAGUAACUAAGAUUGGGUAUUAUUAAGAGUUUAGUUACUUAGUAUUAUCAUUAAUACUUUUAAUGAAGGGAGAAUUCUAGUCCUGUCAAACCCGUUCGGCUAACGACCCUCCACCAGUCAAGCAAGCGGUGGGUGAGAGUGGACACCCAUUAAGUUGCCAUUUUAUAGGCAACAACCUUAUACCCACCUUAUAGACCGGCUUCGUGAAUGAGGCGUACUAGCGGUAAGACUGACUUUACUCUUAUACAUAUAUAUAUUAUUAACUUAUAAUAUUAUAAAGUAUAAGGGUUGAAUUUUAACUUUUAAAAUUCUAAGGGCUAACUUGGAAUUAAAGUAUUCAUAAGUGAAAACUUUACAAAUUCCAAAACUUGAGGGCAAGUUUUGAAACUAUUCAAAACUAAUUAAUUCCAUAACUUAUGUGUUUAAAGUAGUUUUAAUCCAAAAACUCUUCAAGUUCCAUAACUUGAGGACAAGUUAUGGAAGACUUUAAACUAAUAAAAGAAUUAACUUUUCUUUAUUUUAUAACUUAUGGAAUUAAUUAAGGUUACACCUUUUUUUAUUUUAUUUUAUUUUAUUAAAUGAAGAGACUCUUGGUCCUCCAUAACUUGAGGACAAGUUAUGGAGUCAUAAAACCAUUUAAUUAGAACUAGACUCUUCAUUUUUGUAACCUUUGCCAAUUUUUAUGAGUUUUAUGAUUCUUAAAUGUGACUUUUCAUAUAACUUGAGGACAAGUUACAAAAACACAUUUUAGAAUCAAUUCUUAGAUUAAUUUGGAUUAAAACCAACUAUCACAUAAUUUUAUUCAUUAAUCUAAAUUCACUCAUAAAACAAGGUAACACAAAAAACUUUUGGUGAUCCAUAACUUAUUCUUAAGUUAUGGAAUCCUUUAAAACAUUAACACCAAAUUUUGUAACUCCAAAAAAACUUUGAAUCAAUUUUUUUUUUAAAACCUUUUCAUAUCCAUAACUUAUGGAGGUUUCAAAAAAUAAAACUCUUUAGAUCAAACUUUUAAAACUAAUAAAAUAAUCAUAUUAUUUUAUCUUUUAUUAAAUUUGACCUAAUUCAACUCAUAAAGCAAAUUAUUCAAAUUUUACAAAUAAUUAGUUUUUCACAAGAACAAGUAAUUAUCUUAAAAUUUGACGAACUUCAUGUUUUUUUUUUUUUUUUUUUUUUUUCAACUUUGAAAAUAAAAUAUUUGCAUCAAUAUAACAGAAAACAACCCGUGGCUCUGAUACCACUGUUGGGUUUUGAGCAUUCUAACACUUCCUAAGUGUACAUGCAACCCUAAAUACCUUGGAUCUAUGUUUUCUCUAUUAUACAUGCAAAUAAGAACAUCCAAGGUAUUAUCCUAAUCUGGCAUACAAAAACUAUGAAUGUAACAAGAUAGAAUAAAUACCUCUUGAUGUAGCUUGAUGUCUUCAAGCUUUAAGAGUUUAGCCCCAAUAGUGUGGAAGCCUCAAGUGGAAUCACAAAUCACCAAGACACCUUGGAAUACUUUAGAGAAUAUGAUUACUUGGUUCUCUCUAGUGAAAUUGGCUAGCCCUUCUUUAGUGUAUCCACACUAGUGCCAAUUUCACCAACCAAAGACAUCUUUAUAUAGUAUGGAGGAUUAGGGUUAAACCCUAAUACCCAUGACCUUUCAUUUCCUAGGAUCCAUGGGUUAAACACUCCAUGGACUAUCCAUGAAAGCUUAGCCCAACCUAAAUGAACUUGGCCCAUUCCAUAUAUAUAAGAGUCCAUAUUUAAUUAGUUCCUUUUGAUCACUUAAUUAAUUAUAAAUUAAUUCUUGAUCAAUACUAAUUAAAUAAUAUGAUUCCAUAUUAAUAUAUUAGAACUUAUAAUAUAUUAAUAUUAAUCAUAAACAUACUAUUCUCAAAAGAUUAUCCAUAUAAAUUGUGUCGGUGAAGUGCAACCCAAAUGGACCAUGCCGGGUCGGGUCAAGUACAUACCAAAUAUAGUUAUGGACUUAGACAUUAAUCCAACACUUCCAACUAUCAAAUAAUUACAAACUAGUCCCUACACUUUAUAAUUAAUACAAUUAACCCCAAAACUAAUUCCAAAUAACUUCUGGUUAACUAUUAAUUAAAUAUUAUGAUUUCUAAUUAAUAUAUUAUUGUAAUAACACAUUAAUAAACUAUUUAUAAUAAUUUAUUAAUCUUAUAAUAAAUUAAGUUCUCUCUUUUCAUAAUUUCCCUGUCCAAUUGCUAGGUUUGAGAGCAACCCAAAAGGAUUGUGUUGUAAUCAAUUCAAGUACAUACCAACUAUAGUUAUGGGCUUAGACACCUAAUCCUACACAAUUGGCCACCGAGCAUCAUCCGAUAUAUGCUCUGUCAAUAAUGAGACCCAUAUCAUGAUGUGCUGCCAAUCAACACAUGUAUACAAUAAAUUAAGUAUUGUUAUUAGAGGCGUACUAUGUAAUGAUCACAAGUUACAUAACAUACAUCACAUUUCAACCAUCAUACUUCACUAUCCCUAUAUAAGCUUGUCCAAAACUCAAUCCUUGAAAUACAAGUAAUAUAAGAGUGCAAAAACAACAACAAAUUAUCUUGUUCUUUUGUGUAGAGUGUGAAUGGUAAGGUCUAAAAGACUGUCCAACGGUGUCGGAUGUUGGCGUGCAACACCUUUCUUCUUCAUAUGUAUCCAUAGGGACUUACACCAUGUGGAUAUAACUUUUCCGCAUAGAAUAUUCCUGUGAGGUGUUGCAUGCAUUUUAUAUUCUUCCGAGGGAAUCACUAUUAUAUAUGGCAUGCCAUUUUAUACUGAUAUAUGCUAGGGUACAUCAUUUGUUGGCUUUCUGGUGUACCAAGCUCAUAACCAUGCUCCCAAAACUCAUUUUUUGCGGUACAAACAUAUUCCACGAUAAGUAAAUGUACGAUUCAAUAGUAUUUAAUUAUAAACAAUGCAAUGACGGGUAUACUGUAAAGUUAAAUAAGAAAAGUACGGGGGUGAAAUAUUAAAUCAUACUACCUCCACCACCUUUGCGGAACCAGCAUCAUCUCCGACAACCUUAUUAUUAAGUUUUAAAAGAAUGAAUAUCGUAGCUUUAAGUUCUAAAAAAUACAUCUCAUGUGCUUUCAACUACUCGCAAUAGUACAGAACCCAUUUUGCAACUUUGUAAUAAUUCGGUCCUUAUGACUUAAUGGUUGUAACACCAGUUCUAGGUAUAUUUCCCUUUAUGUUUUUGUCAUUUAAAGAUUAAAAUAUGAAGUUUUGGGUUGCCACGACAUGGUGGGGGAAGUAACCAUUACCUAGCCUCACUCGUUAACAAACACACAUUUUGUUGUAUGCUAAGGCGUAACAUCCAUUUUAUGCUAAACCCUCAUUUAUGGGGUUUACGCCCCUAUUUAAUAGAUGUGAUGGCUAGGGUUUUCUUAACCUGCAACCUCCAUCACAUCCUUAUCGAGCUAGAGAAAAUCCUACCCUCCAUUAUUGAACUUAUGGACUUGUGUGAUGGUUUUUGGUCAUUUAAAGCAUAAGAAGGUAUCUUUGGUGAAUCGUUACAGCAAGCAAAUCUCCUCCUCAUCAUCUUAUGUUGUUUCUAAACAUUUGUAAGUCCUCAAUCUUCUUAUUUUUGUUUUGAAGCAUGCUAUAUCUAUGCUUUUAUGCAUUUUCUCCAUGUUUGGUAACAUUUGAGUUGAUGGAUUCCAUAAAUUUGGCAACUUCAUGGAUCCUUUAAUGUUCUAGAUUUGAUGAUGGUUCAGUUUUGGUUCCAUGCAUGAGGUUUUGAGCAUAUUUUUACCCUUUUUGACCUAACCAAGUUCAAUACACGCAUCAGACAUGCAUGUACAUAUAUUAAGGGUUUAUAUGAAGCUAAUGAGUGUUAGGAAGCUUUUUUUGAAGAGAUGAGAGUGUGGCUUAAUGGAUUAAGGGAUUAAUCCAUUAAGAUGUACAGAAGCAACUCCCAUGACAUGACAUCUUGUUCUCGACGAUGUGGUCGAGGGAGUUCUUCAUGAAUGAUCGUUUGGGUUACUACCACGCGGUUUUGGCAUGCUUUCCAUGGCACGAUGGCUGGUCUGGUCGAGACUAUUUCAUCGUGGGGUGGCCAUGAUGUGGUGGUAAGCUAUUAACGGCUGACUUUUUGAGCAAGUUUACUAUUCACCAAUUUGAGGUUUUAUGUGUUGUAGAUUGAGUAUUGGUUCAUUUUUGUGGUAUAGGUGACUCGUAGUACCAGUUCUUGGAUAUGUGUGAGUUUUUUUGUUUAUUUGCUAGAUUGCAAGGUGAGUUUUCUACCUAUACUAUGUACUACAAUAUGUAUCCUUGUGUGUAGGAUGUUGGUAUGUUGUAGUGAUCUAUUAGACUGGUAGGCUUGUUAUAAUUACUUGUGUCUUGUUGGUUAUUUUUUUUAUCUAAUUACAUAUGGUAACAUAUUAUGGUUAAGUUGAGGCAGUUCUGCUUUGUCCUGUAAGUGAAGAUACCCGGGCGGUCCAUGUAUACUGCAUGCCUUGUGAGGCGGUGCAAUCAGACUAUCAGCCUAUAGGAGUGGUCCAUCUAUAUGAUGUAGUCUUAGGAGAGUGGUCCAAGUGUAUCAAGGCCUUACGAGGCGGUUCAGUCAGACUGUAGUCUUAUGUGUGCAUGCGUUGUAUGUGUAUUGUUGUGUGGGGUAUUUUGGGGAAACUCACUAAGCUUUGGCUUAUAGUUGUGGAUCUAAAUAUUUUAGGUACUUUAGAGGAUCGGGGAAAAGUACAGGCAUGAUCGUACACAUCAUCCUAUUGAUUUUUACUUGAGAUAUGUUAUCGAUACUCCGAUUUGCUUUAUUAUGUUUUGAAACAAUGAUUUUGAUAAUUUAUGGUUUUUAUAGAAAUGUCUUUUGAAAACGAUAAAAAUUAGUAUGGUUUUUGGGAAGUUACAAGUUGGUAUCUGAGCCUUAUUUUGAGGGAUUUCGAUGAACAACCAUGUGAUUCCAGACUCAAACUAUGGAUCCACAAAAGGUUUUUCAUAAAUAAUUUCUAAAUAACUAAGAAAUGAGGAUGUGAUGUGUACAAUCAACCGGAGCUCAAGAGAAAGUUAUUCCUACAGAUUCCUACACUUGUUAUAUGUAUAUUUGUAAUAUGUUAAGUGUUAUAAUUGAAUGCUAGUUUAUAGGCUAGAGAUCUUCAGUAAUUGCAAGACAGAAUUUCAUGAUUUAGGAUGCUUGAUAGCCUGAGGAUUUCUUGUUUUGCCAUAUGAAACAAACAUUAUUGUUGUAGUUGCUAAGUGUAUGCAUCAUGAUUUUACAUAACUUAGAUUUUAUAGUUUUAUAAUAUUUGAUUUAGCCUUAUUUCCUGUUCCUUGUUUGAUUGUAGGCUUAGGGUAGAAUCAAUUAUUCGACUGUCUAUUGAAUCUGGCAUUAUGUAUGAUUAGCAUACGCAAGACGAAUUCAGUGUUAGUGAAGGUUUCAUGAUUUGGUUGUGUAAAUGUUAGAGUACUAGUACACGUAAGGAAUUGGUAGUUACUCUUGUGAGAAUGGGUGCAGGGUGUAUGUGUACCCUAGUUUCUCUGGGCCUAGUAGCCCAGGAUUUUCAUGGCGAUCCUCUGAAACAAAUAUAGGUAGGUGUGGAAAGUAGUAUGUUCCUGUACUACUGAAAGCUCAAGACACAUAUAUGUAUCAAGGAAGUCACGGGUUCGAAGGGAUGAGUAGUCGAGUAUAGAUGUGUUAAGGUAUAAUGUGAUUUUUUUGACUUGUUCCGGUUUAUUUCCAGCAUGGUGACUACGAAAGGUUCAGGAUCAGCUGGGCCAGAGAGGCCAGGGUUGGGUGAGGAUGAGAUGAAUAAACUGAUCACUACUCAAGUGACUUUGGCAGUUAGGGAGGCAAUCCAAAAGGUGUUUUGGUCUAUCAAAUCCAUUUUGAUAUAGAUGUUUGAUGAGCGUUAUGUUAUUGUCCUUGAGGCUGCUGCCACCAUAGUCAAUGCAGCCAUCACAGUAGUAGGACUUCAAGGAGGAGGGUCUAUGCAGUAAUAGGAGCUCAUAAACAUAAAGCCCCCAGAGUUCGAUUGGUUCAAGGACCCAAUUAAUGAUAUGAGAUGGAUAUAUGAUGUUGAGGGAUGUUUUUACACAUGUUCAUGUUUAGAAAACCAGAAGGUGAAGUUGACAUAGAACCUUCUUCACUUUGGGGCAAAACACUUGUGGAAGUUUGGCACUCAAGUAUUUUCUACUAUAGAGUGGGCCGUCGUUACAUGGGAGUAGUUUACAUAGAUGUUUUAUAAAUAUAUAUAUAUAUAUAUACAGAGAAAGAGAGAUUAACUCAUGAGCUUAUGUCCCUAAUGCAGACAACGGAAUCCGUGACGAAGAUCACCAAUAUGUUUACUUAGUUAGCCCUCUUUUUUCCCAAGUAUGCUGCUUUGGAGCAGGUUUAGAGGUCAAUAUACUUUAGGAUGCUUAAGACGUAGAGUUGGGAGUUUGUGUCAACUUUUUAGUUCCAUUCCCUUUCAGAGUUGUAGUGCUUUUCCUGGAGGAAGGAGAUUUAGAUUGAGACCCAGGUGAGAGAGAACAUGAAGGCCUUAGUCCAUAAUAAUCCUAUAGCUAAGCGGUUUAAGCCCAUUGAUUCCCAAUCCGGAGGGCAGAGAGGCCACACUUAUGACAAGUGCAUGAAGGUGCACGAGGGAGUGUGCUUUUUAGUAACCAGGUGCCACAAGUGCCAAUAAUAGACACUCUUUUAUAGAUUGUUGUUAGCAGCAGCAGCCCCUACCAUAGCACACUCGAAUUUGUUAUCAUUGUGAUUACGUUGGCCAUGUACAAUACAUAUAUCCAUUUCUUGCUUCUAGGUUCGUGUAGGAGCGAACUCUUACUACUCUUCGGUUCACGGAUGGCCUUCAAGGGAGGCUUGAGGCCCCAGAGUUAAGAGGUUGUGCAUUUUAGCUGACUGUUGGGGAUGCCAGGGCAGCUCCCGACCUGAUUACUAGUAUGCAUUAAUUUAUAUUCUGUCAAAUUAAUUUCUAAAUUCUUGCAUUUAGGUUUCAUUUACAUUCCUUCUUAGUGAAUUCGUUUCCUGCUCUGGUGCUUUUGGACUCGGUUGCUAGUCAUUCUUUUGUGUCUCAGUCUUUUAAAUGGGAGUUUGAUAUGACUCGUGGGGAUUUGGUGUGUCUGUUGCAAUUUUUCAUCACCUACUAUCAUAAAGUUUUUGCUUCGAGCGUCUUUUAUGCCUUUUACUUAGAGAUAUUCAUGGUGCCCUACCCGAUUGACCUGACUCGUAUCCCUGUGGGGGAUGUGUGUGUGAUGGUAGAGAUGAAUUGGCUAAGCAAAUUUGGAGCUGUGAUUGACUAUGGGAGGCAGUUAGUGGUGGUUGGAACCCCAAGCAGGGGAGAACUAACCAUCAAUGGUGAGGGUACUAGGUUUGGUUCAACUUUCUGAUCUACUGCCAGGGUUAGGCAGUAUCUGCAACAUGUAUGUUCAGGUUAUCUCGCAUAUAUGGUCGACACCCGAGCUGAGAAGAAGAACUCAAUAUUGGAUGUGUCAGAGGUUAGGGAGUUUCCGGAUGCUUUUGAGAAAUAUUGACUUGGUGCACCUCUAGUGAGGCAGGUGGAAUUUAGGAUCGAUUUGAUCCCCGAUGUGUCCCCAAUUACAAAGGAGUUGUUGGGCAAGAGUAUCCAAUUGAGAAUUAAACCUUGGGGAGCAUCUCUUUUAUUUGUGAAAAAGAAGGACAGGUCUCAUGGAAUAUGCAUAGAUUAUCAUGAGUUGAAAAAAUUGGUUGUGAUGAACAAUUAUCCACUUCCGAGGAUUGAUGACCUCUUCGAUCAACUACAUGGUACAUUUUGGUUCUCCAAUAUUGAUUUGAUGUUGGGAUACUACCGGAUGAUAUUCAGAGAGGAGGAUGCGGAGAAAAGAGCUUAAGAACUUGAUAUGGUCACUAUGAGUUCAUAGUGAUGUCCCUUGGGCUCACCAAUGAACCUGCAUCAUUUUAUUGAUUUGAUGAAUCGAGUAUGCAGGCCAAUGCUUGAUCGGUUGAUCAUUAUGUUUAUUGACGAUAUUUUGGUCUAGUCUAAGACCAAACAACAGCAUGAGGAGUAACUACAAGAGUAAAGGAGAGGUUAUAUUCCAACUUCAGCAAGUGUGAGUUUUGAUUAUAAGAGGUCCAAUUCUUGGGACACCUCAUCAAUCAGAAUAGUAUUCUAGUCGAUUUGGACAAAAUUAAGGUUGUUAUGCAGUGGGAGGUCACGAAGCUUCCAUUUGAGAUCUGAAGUUUUCUUAGGCUAGCAGGUUACUAUCGAACAUUUAUCCAUGAUUUCUCCAAGAUUGUUGUUUUUCUCACUCACCUGACCAAGAAGAGUCUGGAUUUAUGUUGGGGGCCUGAGCAGCAGGUUACAUUUGAGACUCUAAGACAAAGAAUCCCUGAUAUUGACCCUUCCAGAUAGUGUUGAGGACUUUGUGUUGUAUUGUAAAUCUUUGAUCAUAGGUUUAGAGGCGAUGCUCUGGCAAUGAGGUAGGGUUAUUGCACAUGCUUCUAGGAAUAGAAGCCUCACAAGGCUAUGUAUCUGACGCAUGAUCUAGAGUUAGGGGCAAUGGUGUUUUCUCUCAAAAUUUGGAGACACUAUCUUUAUGGUGUAUGAUGUACCAUAUACACUAACCAAAAAAAAAGAAUGAGAUAUCUUAUGGACCAGAUGAACCUAAAUAUGAGGUAGCGUAGGUGGCUUCAUGUGGUCAAGGAUUAUGAUUAUGUGAUCCUUUACCAUCCAUAGAAUGUCAAUGUGAUCGUUGAUUCCUUGAGAUGCAAGAUGGCUAGUGCUCCUAUCUGAGGCUUAGGAUGACCAUCAAUUCACUACUUCAUGAUUUGACCAAAGAGGCUCUGGAAGAGGGAAUCAAGAAGGAGAACUUGAAGAAGGGGAAGAACAUGGGGUGAUUGACUGAUUCGUCACCGACGUUUGGGGGUUUUUGACCCAAUGUCAAUGUGUUUGGGUUCCAGUUUCCGGUGGAGUCUGUUGUUACAAAAGGCACAUAAGUCCAUGUUCUCGAGUCACUAUGGAGCCAUGAAAAUGUAUUCAUACUUGAGGCUUAGCUAUAGGUAGCUUAUCGGUUACAUCUACAUUAGGAGUUGUGUAACAUCCCGAGAUUUUCCGGGUAUUUCCGAACCUUCUUCUAUCAUUAUCGGGUCAUAUGUAGUCCUUGGGGUUGGAAGUGUAGAGCCAAGAUAAGUUUAAGGGCAAAAGUUGCAACCUUCAGCCAGGAAUGAGUACGUUGCGCGUACAUAAGCGUACGCUAAGCAUACUAAGGUCUGCCUUAGUACGCUGGGCGUAACUUGUGUAUGCUAGGCGUACUAAUGUCUUGUUGAAACCGUAAUAUUUCGAGUUGGGGGCUAUAUAAACAUCCUUAUGGCUCCUUCUCUCAUCAUUCUCAGCCUCCGUCUUUCAGAAAUGUCCCAAACCCUAGCUUUGUGUGUGAGUGUGAGUUAGUGUGUGUUUUGAGCUCUUGAAGGUGAAGUCUUUGCAACAAGUAGUUCGAGAAGUAAGGCCAACUUGUAGAUCUGAAGUUUUCUUGUACUUUAGGAACUCUAGAAGGUAAAAAGCUUCUAGCUUGGCAACUAUUUUGAGUAGAUCUAGUAUUAUUUAGGUUCUUGCCACAUUUCUUGUCCCAAAAACCCGAAUAUGGUGCCUGAUGAAUCUUGGUCAUAUUAAGCUGUCCUUCCAGACCCUAGAAAGGGUCCUAAGUGAUAAAAAUAAGGUCCCAAUAGCUAAAUGUGUCCCAAGCAUGGAAUAAGAAGGUCUUAAUGGAUUAAUACCAAGUAUUAAGAGCUUUCUAGACGUCCAAAGUAAUAAAGUUUGUAACUUUAUGGGUCCUAGGCACAUUAGGUCUCUGGAUUUGAAGUUUGGGCUUAAGUGCUUAAGCCAUUAAGUGCUUAAUAAGAUUUUGGCAAGACACUGUGUACGCCCAGCAUAAAUCCAAUACACCCAGCGUACUGGGUCAACCACCCCGAUGAUGGUCAACAUCUGAGCAAGUGCGCCCCGCGUACCAGAGAAGUACGCCCCACGUACGUCCUCUGUUGGGCCUUUGACUUUUUGGCUUUGAGUUUUGGGUUAUUUAUGGACUAAUUGGGUUUUGGCCUUUGCUAGAGUUUAUGAAUAUAAUGUUUUGGGCCAAGCAUUGGAUAUUGGAUCUUGGGUUUAGGCCCAAUUAGGGAGUUGGGCUCAAUUUGGUAAAUUGGGCCAAUAAUGCGCCUUAUAAAUGGACUUUUUAAGUUAUGGACUUGGUAUUGGGCCUUGGACCAAUAAAGAGAAUGGACAUGAUGGAUUGUGUGGACACAUAGUCAAGACUGUAAUGUUGAGUAUUAACUUAGUGUUUAUUAUGUGAUAGUUUGGGAUUCCCGGUGAGACAACAGUCAGGGAUUUCUAGUAUUUCGACACUACUUGCGAGGUAAGUUACCUCACUAUACUAAGAGGUCUAAGGCACCAAUGCCGACCCAUUGGAUAUGAUAUCCUAGUUUUUGAUAGUAUGUUGAGUAUGAGUCAAUGUUGCAUGUUAGUUGGUAUGCAAGAUAGAUAGAUUUGUAGGACUAGUUGUAGUAUUGUGUGAUUAUCUGUAUGUGCAUUUGUUGUGUUAUAUGUCGACAUAUUAUGUGGGAUGGGUUGAGGUGAUACUGCUUUGUGCGGUAACCAACAAACCCGAGAGCAUUCCAGAUACGAGUUGAGAGAGACUCGUAUUGUGGGCUCGAUGACAAUCCAGAUGUGAGUUGUGGGCCUAGAAUGCCAUCCAGACUCACACUGUGUGCCCAGGGGUAAUCCAGUCUGUAAAGCUGUGGACCCAGUAUAUGUUGUUAAUUGUAUAUGUGUUAUGUGCAGUGUAUCGCUAUUUUGGGGGAACUCACUAAGCUUUCGGGCUUACAAUCUCAGUUUAUUGUUUCAGGUACAUCAGGGGAUCGCGGCAAGGCAAAGGCGUGACCGUACAAAUUCUGAUGUUUUGUUUAUGUUUCUAGGAAAACUCUGAUAUUAUACAUUUUGAAAACAAGUUUGUAAUGACUUAAUGAUUUUGAAAUGCUUUUAAAAGUUCAAAUUUGGCAUGAUUUUUAUAGGUGUUACAAGUUGGUAUCAGAGGCUUGGUUUGAGUGAAUUGGAGGUACAUUCGUGCGAAUCCAGUCUCAAACCAAGGAAGGAUUUUCAAAAUAAUUUUAAAAUGGUUUUCAAAAUGAUAAAAGGAGUAUACAGGGUGUGUGAUCAGCCGGAGCCAGUAAGUGGACCCCAAAAUACCAUACUGUUAUUUGAUAUUGUCAUAUGUUUGAACAACAUGCUACUACUAUGCUAGGGAUCUUUUGGAAUUGCAUAAUAGAAUUGUCUGAUUACAUGAUGCCUGCUAGCCUAGGAUUUUCCUUAUAUGAGAUUGACAUCAUUAUUGUACUAGCUUGUGUAUGUAUCAUGGUUGUACAUAAUUAAGAUCUUAUAGCCUGAGAAUGUUUGAUUUAGCCUUAUAUUCUGUUCUUGUUGAUUAGGGACUUAGGGUAGGAUCAAAUAUUUGAAAGUAUAUAGGACCCAACGUUAUGUAUGGCUAGCAUACACUAGUGCUGCAGGGUUGGUGGAAGUUUCAUGGAUGGAUGGGUUGUGUGAGACCGGUAGGUCAGUUGUGAGACAGUUAGCCUUCCUCUAGGAGUGAGGUUGAGUUACCACCACGUGUAUGUAUAUUCUUAGGGAUUUUUGGUUAUACUUGGGAUAAAUAUGGGUAGGUGUGGAAGGUAGUAUGGGCCCGUACUACUGAAAGCACAGGACCCAUACGCGUAGAAAGGAAGUCACAACCCCUAGGGUUUAGUUGGAAGUUGGUCCCCUGCUAUUAUGUGAGUUAUCUGAUAUAUUUUCAUAUGUUUUCAGAAUGGUGAUGACGAGACACUUUGAGACUGGAUCCGGUUCAGGAUCUGGAUCAGGAGACUGAGGCCAGGAGGGGCCAGCAGCACCUGAGGUUGUGGUGCAGAUGGGGAUAGACAAGUUAGAUGCCAGGAUUCGAGAUAUCCUGCAUGAUGAGGGUGCCACUUUGUUCCGGACACAACUGCCAGAGAUGUUUGGGUCUAUUAAGACCGCCAUGGUUGAGUACUUUAAUAAGCAAUACGCAACCCAUGCAGAGACUGUUGCCGUUGCAAUUGCAUCGGCUGUAACAGCGGAAGGAGGAGGAAUAGGGGCCAGUCGAGGCUUUCAGUACAAGGACUUCGAUAACACAAAGCCCCCUAAUUUUGAUGGGACUUAGGACCCCAUCAAGGGCAUGAGGUGGGUUUUUGAUAUGGAGGGGUAUUUCUUUACUUGCUCGUGUCCUACUAACCAGAAGGUCAGGUGUGCCCUGAACCUGCUCAGGUCCCGGGCCAAGGACUGGUGGAGAUUCAUGACUGGGCCAUACACUGAUGAUUAGAGAGGUGCUAUUACUUGGUAGAAGUUCAUGGAUAUGUUAUGCACCCGUUACAUUCCACGGGUUGAGUGGGAACGUUUGGCUCAAGAGUUUUUGAGUUUGAGAUGGGACGGGGAAUUGGUGACGAAGAUCACCCGCAUGUUCACAGAGAGGGCGAUGUUCUGCCCAAAGUUUGCUUCCGAGUAGGCUCAGAUGACACCUUAUAUGAGCAUGCUCAAGACUGACAUCCAUCAGUUUGUGUCUACCCAACGAUGUGAUACUCUUCUGGAGUUGCAGGAGGCCACUAGGCGGCAUGAGUUGGAGAUUGAGCUGCAGUUGAGGGAGCAACGGCAGGCCUCAAGAUAGUUGCAGCCGGCGCCAAAGCGGUCUAGGACGGCUGAUUCUAGGAUCGGGAGUCAAUAGAGCCGCACUUGAGGAAAGUGAGGCAAGGGUCAUUUUGGGGUUUGUCGAGCUGGUAAUGGGUGCCACAAGUGUGGAAAGGAGGGGUAAUAUGCGAAGGAUUGUCGCCAAGCCGCCCCAAGUCCGAGUAUGAGGUUAUGUUAUCACUGUGAUCAGGUUGGCCACUUGAAGACCAACUGUCCGUUUCUUGUCGCUAAGCCAGCGCAAGCUCCCGCACCGGCUACAUUGAAGAUUCCGGAUGGGAGGUCAGUUAAGGCAGAGCCUCCAAAGGCUCAGGGGCAUGCCUUCCAGCUUACAGCCAAGGAGGCCAUAGCAGCACCAGACGUGGUUGUUGGUAUGUUUAUAUCCUCUAUUUCUUUUAUUAUAUUUGUUUUAUGCUUAUCUGUUGUACUUGUGAUUAGGUACGUUUUUAGUGAACUCUCUGUCUGCUUUGGCUUUAUUUGACUCAGGGGCGAGUUAGUUGUUUGUAUCUCAGACAUUUAGUAGGGAGUUCAGUGUGCCAGUAGGCGAGCUAGAGUGUCCGUUGCGAGUCUCUAUUGCCAACGAACACGAGGUUUCUGCUUCUUCGAUCUACCGAGUAUGUGAGUUGGAGAUCUUCGGGGUAUCCUUCCCAAUAGACUUGAUUCCGAUCCCUAUGGGGGAGGUGUGCAUGAUUGUGGGGAUCGAAUGGAUUAGUCGAUUCGGUGUCGUGAUUGAUUGCGAGCGUCAGCGGGUGGUAGUUCGAACCCCAAGUGGGGGAGAACUGACUGUAUAUGGCGAGGGCACCAGAGUGGGAUAAGGGUGUUGUUCAGCUGCCAGGGAUCGGCAGUAUAUUCAGCACGAGUGUGUGGGUUAUCUAGCGUAUGUGGUGGAUAUGCGGGUCAGAGAUCAGACUCCAGUUUUAGAGGUUCCAGUGGUUAGAGAAUUUGUAGAUGUGUUCCCAGAGGAGUUGCCAAGGAUACCUCCGGAGAGGCAGGUCGAGUUCCGGAUCGACCCGGUGCUAGGUGUGACACCUAUCGCCAAGGAACCGUACCGACUGGCGCCACCCGAGAUGCGGGAGCUGGCGCCACAGCUGCAGGAACAGCUGGGUAAGCAGUUAAUUCAAUCAAGCAGUUCUGCAUGGGGAGCACCGAUCCUCUUCCUCAGGAAGAAGGACGGUUCGUACCGGAUGUGCAUAGAUUAUAGGAAGUGAACAAGUUGAUGGUGAAGAACCGUUAUUCACUCCCGAGGAUAAAUGAUCUCAUUGAUCAGUUACAGGGUGCAUCUUGGUUUUCCAAGAUAGACUUGUGGUCGGGAUAUCAUGAGGUCCGGGUCAGAGUGGAGGACGUGGAGAAGACCGUGUUUCGGACUCGCUAUGGACAUUACGAGUUCGUGGUGAUGACGUUUGGGCUCACCAAUGCGCCAACAGUAUUUAUGGACCUGAUGAAUCAGGUUAGCAAACCGAUGCUUGAUCGCUCGAUCAUCGUGUUUAUAGAUGAUAUCUUGUUGUAUUCCAAGAUCCGAGAGCAACAUGAGGAGCACCUUAGGGAGUUGUUGGGAGUUUUGAGAUGGGAAUGGUUGUAUGCCAAAAUUGAGGUCCAGUUCCUCGGACAUCUCGUUAACCAGGAGGGGAUUUUGGUCGACCCAGCCAAAAUUGAGGCAAUCAUGUAGUGGGAGGUGUCGACAUCUCCUUCAAACAUCAGGAGUUUUUUGGGAUUGGCAGGGUACUACCUGAGAUUCAUACCAGAUUUCUCCAAGAUUGCAGUACCCCUCACUCAUCCGAUGAGGAAGGGGGUGGAUUUCUGGUGGGGCCCUGAGCAGUAGAUGGCGUUUUAGACCCUCCGACAGUGUUUGUGCGAGGCUACGAUUUUGUAUCUCUCGGAGGGAGUCGAGGAUUUUGUGGUGUUCUAUGAUGCGUCCAUCAUAGGUUUUGGGGCAGUCCUCAUGCAGAGAGGACGGGUCAUAGCCUACGCAUCGUGACAGCUGAACCGCCUAAGAAGAGAUACCCUAUGCAUGAUCUGGAGUUGGGAGCGAUGGUUUUUGCUCUCAAGAUUUAGAGACAUUACCUCUAUGGGGUCCUCUGUACCAUAUACACAGAUCACAAGAGCCCGAGACACAUCAUCGAUCAGCUGAAACUGAACAUGAGAGAGUGCAGGUGGCUGGAUGUAGUCAAGGACCACGACAACGAGAUCCUUUACCACCCCGGUAAAGCGACUGUGGUGGCAGAUGCUCUGAGCCGCAAGUUAGCUGGGUCUUCCACCCCAGUGGUAUGUAUGAGGAUAGCAGUGGAUUCUCCAAUUGUAAGUUUGAUCAGGGAUGCUCAUAUUGAGAGCAUGCGACCAGAGAAUUGAAAACUAGAGAGGAUUAGGGGUGAGAACACCCGGUUUGUGUAGGAUAGCCAGGGAUUAUUGACCCAACGCGGUCGGGUAUGGGUUCCGAUGUCUGGUGGGGUCAGACAGACAGUGAUGGAGGAUGCUCAUAAGUCUCACUUCUCUAUUCAACCGGGGGCCACCAAGAUGUAUUAGGAAUUGAGCUUAAUUUACUGGUGGCCGUGCAUGAAGCGAGAAAUCGCUUGGUAUGUCGAGAGGUGCUUGACAUGUAAGAUGGUCAAGGCCGAGCAUCAGAGACCACAUGACAAACUGCAGCCCCUGGAGAUUCCCAUGUGGGAAUGGGAACAAAUCACGAUGGACUUCAUUACCAAGUUGCCGAGGACGACGAAGGGGUUUGAUGCUAUAUGGGUCAUCGUGGAUCGAUUAAUCAAGAGUGCCCAUUUCUUGGCUAUACGAGAGAGUUUAUCGACCGAGAAGUUGGCCGAUGUGUAUGUCUGCGAGAUCGUCGCUCGCCACGGGGUUCCGGUCUCCAUUGUUUCUGACCGAGAUGUUAGAUUUACCUCCUGUUUUUGGCAGAAGUUCCAUUAGGAACUGCACACGCGGAUGCACUUUAGCACAACAUUUCAUCCGCAGACCGACGGUCAUAUUAAGAGGACCAUUCAGACCCUCAAGGAUAUAUUGAGGGCUUGUGUCAUUGACUUCGGUGGGAUUUGGGAUUCCUACCUACCGUUUGCGUACUUCGCCUACAACAACAACUAUCAUUCCAGCAUUAGCGCCCCGCCUUUCAAGCUGUUGUAUGGUCAGAGAUGUCGCACCCCGGUUUGUUGGGGUGAGGUCAGACACACGGUGAUGGAACGGAUGGAGGUAGUCUUCCAGACUACCGAGAAGAUUCAACAGAUUAGGCAGCGACUGCAGACUACUCAACGUCGGCAGAAGAGUUACGCCGACAGAUGCCUAUAUGAGUUAGAGUUCCAUGUUGGUGACAUGGAACUCCUGAAGGUCUCACCCUGGAAGGGUAUGAUCCACUUCAAGAGGAGGGGGAAAUUGGUUCCCCAAUACAUUGGGUCAUUCAGGAUCGUUUCCAAGGUUGGCAAGGUGGCAUAUAGCUCAAAGCUACCAGAGGAGCUCAGUGGUGUCGUUGGAUGAUAUUCAGGUCGAUGAGCGCCUGAAUUACAUGGAGAGGCCCAUGGCUAUACUAGAGAGGAAGAUGAAGGUACUACGGAACAAGGAGAUACCUUUGGUAAAGGUACAGUGGGAGCAUCAGAGGGGAUCUGAGUGGGCAUGGCAGCCCGAGUCUGAGAUGUGGGAACAUUACCCUGAUCUAUUUACCACAGCCGACUUGAAGGACGAAGUAUAAGUCAAAUGGGAGAGAAUUGUAACAUCCCGAGAUUUUGCAAGUAUAUCUGAACCCUCUUCUAACAUUAUAUGAUCAUUUGUAUUACUUGGGGUUGCAAGUGUAGAGCCAAUAUAAGUUUAUGGGCCAAAGUUGCCACCUUGGGCCAAGAAGGAGUACGAUGCGUGUACAUAAGCGUAUGCUAAGCAUACUAAGGUCCGCCUUAGUACGCUGGGCGUCACUUGUGUAAGCUGGGCAUCACUUGUGUACGCUGGGCGUACUAAUGUCUUGUUGAAACCCUAAUAUUUCGAGUUGGGGGCUAUAUAAACAUCCUUAUGGCUCAUUAUCUCUCAUCAUUCUCAGCCUCCAUGUUUCAGAAACGUCCGAAAACCUAGGUUUGUGUGUUAGUGUGAGUUAGUGUGUGUUUUGAGCUCUUGAAGGUGUCUUUGCAUCAAGUAGUUGAAGAAGUAAGGACAACUUGUAGAUUUGAAUUUUUCUUCUCUUGGGGGCAAAACAUUAGUGGAAGUUUGGCACUCAAGGAUUUUCUACUAUGGAGUGGGCCGUCGUGACAUGGGAGUAGUUUACAUAGAUGUUUUGAACUGAGUAUUUUCCACUAAGAUAUAUAUAUAUAUAUAUAUAAAGAGAGAGAGAGAGAGAGAGAGAUAGAGAUAGAUUAACUCAGGAGUUUAUGUCCCUAAUGCUGAUGACGGAAUCCGUGAUGAAGAUCACCGACAUGUUUACUUAGUGAGCCCUCUAUUUUCCCAAGUAUGCUGCUUUGGAGCAGUUUUAGAGGUCGUGAUACUUGAGGAUGCUUAAGACAUAGAGUCGGGAGUUUGUGUCGACUUUGUAGUACCAUUCCCUUUUAGAGUUGUAGUCCUUUUCCUGGAGGAAGGAGAUUGAGAUUGAGAGCCAGGUGAGAGAGAACUGGAAGGCCUCAGUCCAGAAUAAUCCUAUAGCUAAGCGGUUUAAGCACGUUGAUUCCCAAUCCACAUGACAGAGAGGCCACACUUAUGGCAAGUGCGUGAAGGUGCACGAGGGAGUGUGUUGUUCAGUAAUCGGGUGUCACAAGUGCUAAUAACAAACACAAUUUUAUAGAUUGUCGUCAGUAGCAGCAACCCCCACCAUAGCACACUCGAAUUUGUUAUCAUUGUGAUUACGUUGGCCAUGUACAGUACAUCUAUCCAUUUCUUGCUUCUAGGUUUGUGUAGGAACGAACUCCUACUACUCUUCGGUUCGCGGAUGGCCUUCAGGGGAGGCUUGAAGCCCUGAAGGUUAGAGGUUGUGCAUUUUAGCUGACUGUGGAGGAUGCCAAGGCAGCUCCCAACCAGAUUACUAGUAUGCAUGAAUUUAUAUUCUGUCAAAUUAAUUUCUAAAUUCUUGCAUUUAUGUUUCAUUUACUUUCGUUCUUAGUGAAUUUGUUUCCUGCUCUGGUGCUUUUUGACUCGGUUGCUAGUCAUUCUUUUGUGUCUCAAUCUUUUAAAAGGGAGUUUGAUAUGACUCGUGGGGAUUUGGAGUGUCUGUUGCAAUUUUUCAUCACCUACUAGCAUAAAGUUUUUUCUUCGAGCGUCUUUUAUGGCCUUACCUUAGAGAUAUUCGUGGUGCUCUACCCGAUUGACUUGACUCCUGUCCCUGUGGGGGAUGUGUGUGUGAUGGUAGGGAUGAGUUGGCUAAGCAAAUUUGGAGUUGUGACUUACUAUGAGAGACAGUUAGUGUAGGCCUGGCAACCGUGUCGUGUUCGGGUUGGCGUGUCGCGGGUUGGCGUGUCAAAAUAUGCUAACCCAAACACGACCCAUUUAAAUAUACAGGUCACGGGUUGGCGGGUCACGUGUUGGCGGGUUUGGAACAUAAACCCAUAUAUGACCCGCCAACCCAUUUAUUUAUACGGGUUCACAGGUUGGCUAGUUUGUGGGUCAGAUUUGGGUUCGUGGGUCCGAAUUUUAGACAUUUAAGUCUUAAACAUCCAAAUGAAAAUUAUAAACAUUCAUAGAAACAUGUUACAGACUUAGCCUUAUAGGUUACGACUUACGACCUUAGACCAUUCACCACGAGUCAAAAUGUCAAAACAGUCAAAUGGUCUAUGAAUCAAUGGUAUAUAUUGUAUAAUACUUAUUAAAUAUUCAUACUUGAUACAUAAAUACAUUUAAAAGUAAAAUAAUUUCUUUGUUAAGAAUAUAAACGGGUUGGCGGGUCAAGCCGUUUAUUUUUUGAGAAACUCAUAUAUGACCCGUUUAAUAAACAGGUUGGCGUGUUGACGGGUUAGCGGGUUGGCGGGUUGAAAAACUCAACCCAAACCCAUUUAUUUCGUGUCGUGUCGCGUGUCGUGUCGAGAAUUGCCAGCCCUAAGUUAGUGGUAGUUGGAACCCCAAGCAGGGGAGAACUAACCAUCAAUGGUGAGGGUACCAGGGUUGGUUCGGCUUUCUGAUCUACUACUAGGGUUAGGCAGUAUCUGGAACAUGUAUUUUCAGGUUAUCUCGCAUAUGUGGUCGACAAACAAGCUGAGAAUAAGAACUCAAUUUUGGAUGUAUCAGACGUUAGGGAGCUUCCGGAUGCUUUUGAUAAGUACCGACUCGGUGUACCUCUAGUGAGGCAGGUGGAGUUUAGGAUCGAUUUGAUCCCUGGUGUGUCCCCAAUUACAAAGGAGUUGUUGGGCAAGAAAUGUAUCCGAUUGAGAUGUAUACCUUGGGGAGCACCCUUUUAUUUGUGAAAAAUAAGGACAGGUCUCAUUGAAUGUGCAUAGAUUAUUAUGAGUUGAACAAAUUGAUUGUGAUGAACCAUUAUCCACUUCCGAGGACUGAUGACCUCUUCGAUCAACUACAUGGUACAUUUUGGUUCUCCAAUAUUGAUUUGAUGUUGGGAUACUACCAGAUGAUAUUUCAGAGAGGAGGAUGCGGAGAAGAGAGCUUACGAACUUGAUAGGGUCACUAGGAGUACGUAGUGAUGUCGCUUGGGCUCACCAAUGAACCUGCAUUUUUUUAUUUAUUUGAUGAAUCGAGUAUGCAGGCCGAUGUUAGAUCGGUUGAUCAUUGUCUUCAUUGAUGAUAUUUUGGUCUACUCUAAGACCAAACAACAACAAGAGGAGUAACUACAAGAGUAAAUUUGAGUGUUGAGGAAGGAGAGGUUGUAUUCCAACUUCUGCAAGUGUGAGUUUUGAUUAUAAGAGGUCCAAUUAUUAGGGCAACUCGUCAAUCAGAAUGGUAUUCUGGUCGAUUUGGCUAAAAUUGAGGUUGUUAUGCAGUGGGAGGUCCCGAAGCUUCCAUUUGAGAUCCUAAGUUUUCUUAGGCUAGCAGGUUACUAUCGAAGAUUUAUGCAGGAUUUCUCCAAGACUGUUGUUUUUCUCACUCGCCUGAUGAAGAAGAGUCUGGAUUUAUGUUGUGGGCCUAAGCAGCAGGCUACAUUUGAGACUCUGAGACACAGAAUAUGUGAGUCCCUGCGAUUGACCCUUCCAGAUAGUGUUGAGGACUUUGUGUUGUAUUGUAAAGCUUCGAUCAUAGGUUUAGAGGCGAUGCUCAGGCAAUGAGGUAUGGUUAUUGCACAUUCUUCUAGGAAUAGAAGCCUCACAAGGCUAGGCAUCUGACGCAUGAUCUAGAGUUAGGGGCAGUGGUGUUUUCUCUCAAGAUUUGGAGACACUAUCUUUAUGGUGUAUGAUGUACUAUAUACACGAACCAAAAACAGAAUGAGAUAUCUUAUAGACCAGAUGAACCUGAAUAUGAGGCAUCGUAGGUGGCUUGAAGUGGUCAAGGAUUAUGAUUAUGUGAUCCUUUACCAUCCAGAGAAUGUCAAUGUGAUCGUUGAUUCCUUGAUAUGCAAGAUGGCUAGUGCUCCUAUGUGAGGCUUAUGCUUCAGGAUGACCAUCAAUUCACUACUUCAAGAUUCGAACAAAGAGGCUCGGGAAGAAGGAAUCAAGAAGGAGAACUUGAAGAAGAGGAAGAACAUUGGGUGAUUGACUGAUUCACCACCGACGAUCGGGGGUUUUUGACCCAGUAUCGAUGUGUUUGGGUUCCAUUUUCCGGUGGAGUCUGUUGUUACAGGAGGCACAUAAGUCCAUGUUCUCGAGUCACCCAGGAGCUAUGAAAAUCUAUCGAUACUUGAGGAUUAGCUAUAGGUGGCCUAUCGGUUAGAUCUACAUGAGGAGUUGUGUAACAUCCCUAGCUUUUGCAGGUAUUUCCGAACCUUCUUCUAUCAUUAUGGGGUCAUAUGUAGUCCUUGGGGUUGGAAGUGUAGAGCCAAGAUAAUUUUAAGGGCCAAAGUUGCACCCUUCGAAUAAGAAGGAGUACGUUGCGCUUACAUACGCGUACGAUAAGCGUACUAAGGUCCGCCAUAGUACGCUGGGUGUAACUUGUGUACGUAGGGCGUACUAAUGUCUUGUUGAAACCCUAAUAUUUCGGGUUGGGGGUUAUAUAAACACCCUUGUGGCUUAUCUUCUCUCACCAUUCUCAGCCUCCAUCUUUCAAAAAUGUCCCAAACCCUAUCUUUGUGUGUGAGUGUGAGUUUGUGUGUGUGUUUUUUCAGCUCUUGAAGGUGAAGUCUUUGCAACAAGUAGUUGGAGAAGGAAUGCCAACUUAUAGAUCUGAAGUUUUCUUGUACUUUAGGAACUCCAAAAGGUAAAAAGCUUCUAGCUUGGCAACUGUUUUGAGUAGAUCUAGUAUUAUUUAGGUUCUUGGCACAUUUUUUGUCUCAAAAACCCCAAUAUGGUGCAUGAUGCAUCUUGGUCAUAUUAAGUUGUCCUUCCAGACCCUAGAAAGGGCCCCAAGUGAUAAAAAUGAGGUCCCAAUUGGUGAAUGUGUCCCAUCCAUGGAAUAAAAAGGUCUUAAUGGAUUAAGACCAAGUAUUAAGAGCCUUCUGGACGUCCAAAGUGAUAAAGUUCAUGAGUUUAUGGGUCCUAGGCACGUUAGGUCUCUGGAUCUAAAGUUUGGGCUUAAGUGCUUAAGAUAUUAAGCACUUAAUAAGAUUUUGGCAAGACACUGUGUACGCCCAGCGUAAAUCCAAUAUGCCUAGCGUACUGGGUCAACCACCCCGGUAGUGGUCAACAUAUGAGCGAGUACGCCCCGCGUACCAGAGGAGUACUGUAACACCAAAAUUUUCAAAGAAUUUUUCACAUUUUCAAAACAUACUUUCAUUCAUAAAUAUUAUAAAAAUUUCAUUGUAUCACAUACCAAUCCAUAGAAACUUAACCCUAAGAUCAUAAUGUAUAAAAACUCCUCAUGUGUGUAUUGAUCAUGUUGGCGCCUUCCCGCGAUCCUCACUGGUACCUGAAACACAUAACACAACAUUGUAAGCAUAAAUGCUUAAUGAGUUCCCGAAACUACCACAUAUCACACAUAAUAGCCACUCGAGGCUAUAACUCUAUGGACCCUCUAGUCCCAACUCUAUGGACCCUCUGGUCCUAACUGUGUGAACCUUCCGGUUGUAACUCUGUAACUCUGGAACAUACACGACAUGAAUCACAUAGAAAUAAUGCAGAGUAUCACAAUCACAUAAAUAACAUACAAGAUACUCUGUCAUAUACCUCUAAUUACCACUCCAGGUAAAGUAUAAUGAGAAGACUCACCUCGGGUAACUCGGUAAAUCUCAAACUCGGUAAAAUCUGGUCAAGCCCCUGCCUAAUCACAUGGAAUAAGAAGUGUAAUAAAUACAACCCUCAAGGCUAGAUUAAUCCCUCUCUUAGCAUUAUCAUAAGGGUAAAAGUCCAUUUUACCCCUCUCAUGGCUCAAAGACCCAAACAUUUACCAAACCCUAAAAGUUAACAAAAGUCAACUCUCCGGGUUACGCUGCGCGUACCAACCAUGUAUGUUUGGCGUAGCCAGCAACCUUACAGAAUCAGGGAACACGACCCCCUAUGCUGCUCGUACUGGGAUUACGCCUCGCAUAAAUCCCAGUUUCACGCUCCUUUGCUUUUGGGGUCUUAAACGGUUAAGACACACGUCCAACUCCCAGAUUUGACUACCCCUAAGCCUCUUAAUUCAUAAAGUUUGUGAAUUUAAGCCUUUGCAUGGCUAUGAGAGUCACCAACACCCAAAUCAUUCCACUUCUAACACUUUAAAGCCCAUAACUCAAAUAUGACUUCAUAAUGACGACUAAGUUGGGAUCUUUAUGGCUCAACAACACACAUAACACUGAAAUGGGACAUAUCUGUUGGGUUUUGAGCAUUCUAACACUCCUAAGUGUACAUGCAACCCUAAAUGCCUUGGAUCUAUGUUUUCUCUAUUACACAUGCAAAUAUGAAUAUUCCAAGGUGUUACCCUAUCUAGCAAACAAUCCUUGAUACUUAUGUAAUAUAACAAGUUAGAACACAUACCUUUUAAUGAAUCUUGAAGUCUUGAACUUUAAGAGCUUAGCCCCAAUAGUGUGGAAGCCUCAAGUGGAAUCACAAAUCACCAAAACACCUUGGAAGACUUUAGAGAAUAUGGAUACUUGGCUCAUACUUAUGAAAUUGGUUAUUGGCCUCUUUAGUGUAUCCACACUAGCCACUAGCCUAAUUUCAUGAACCAUAAGACCCUUUAUAUAGUGUGGAGGAAUAUGGUUAAACCCUAAUACCAUGACCUUUCAUUUCUUAUGAUCCAUGGGUGAAAGCUCCAUGGACUAUCCAUGAAUACUUAGCCCAACCUAAAUGAACUUGGCCCACUAUACAUAUAUAUCUAAGAGUCCAUAUUAAUUUAGUUCCUUUUGAUCACUUAAUUAAUUUUAAAUUAAUUCUUGAUCAAUACUAAUUAAAUAAUAUGAUUAUAUACUAAUAUAUUAGAACUUAUAAUAUAUUAAUAUAAAUCAUCAAUAUACUAUUCUCAAAAGACUAUCCAUAUAAAUUGUGUCGUUGAAGUGCAACCCAAAUGGACCAUGUCGGGUUGGGUCAAGUACAUACCAAAUAUAGUUAUGGACUUAAACAUUAAUCCAACAGUCUCCCACUUGGAUAAGUCUAUAACUAUUAUUGAGUAUGACUUCAAAAACCAACUGGCUAUCGUAGCUGUUAAAGCCGCUGUCGAACUCUAAUCUUGUCAAGGAACUCUAACCUUUGUAAAUUACUUGUCCAUUAGAUAAGGGAUCAUAUAUUCCUCCAUUCUAGAUAUCAUAUGGACUGAGACAUGGAUUAUAAUCACUCUCUCUGUCCAUUUGUUGUUUCCCGAUUUUCGAUUUAUGAUGACUGACUGAUUGAACAAAUCAAAUCAGUCAAGCACUCACAUGUGUCAUCACUAAAUCAUCUAGGGGCCCACAAAUAUCGCUUUUAUCCCGAAGGUAAAAGGAAUGGAUAAACUUUGACUCAUAUGGCUUGUUCUACUACUUGUUAAAUCAUACACAAAGGCACGUUUUAUAACAUCGAGUUACCAAUGCGGUUUUGUGCAAUCAUUGUACAACCAACUCAUAAUAACAACUCAUAUCUCUAGGUUUGAAGAAUAUAAGAUCUUAUCGUCUCAUGAUUACUCUUGAUAAAAUCCAUGAAGUGAUUGAAAUGAGCGUCGGUUGAAUCCAAUACUCAGAACUUAUGAGCACUCAUGAGUGUUGUAGCACAACUUUGUCCACCAACUUGGACCUCUACAAGCUAACCCAUGACAGUCUUGAUUCAUAUCUGCUUCCAACAUAUGACUGACUGUGGAUGGUUUGAAUAACUUAGUCAUUCCGGAAGAAUAACCUAGUUAUUAUGGAAGUCAAAACAUGCAAAGUGAAACACAAGCAUAAAUGAAUCAAAUAUGGUAUCAAACCCUAUGAAUAUAAAUAGACCACUUUUAUUUAUCAUCAUACUGAUUACUCAUUAUUCAUUGUUUCGGUUUUAUGAACUUUAUACUUGAAUUAAAAACACUGGUUGUCCUAUGCUCCAAGCAUGUACACUAUGUUUUUCUAAACAAUAGCUUUGCCAUACACCAAAUAUGCACUCUAUGUUUAUCUAUGAUCCUUACUUUGUGAACUAGAUCGAUUGAACAUAAUUUCAAUGAUUCUCUUUUAAACUUAUACGCAUUGUUCCUCUUGUAAUGAUUAUGCACAAAGCCACAAAGACUUGGCAACAAUCAUUAUAGAGUAUUCCAAUGGAGAGAAAUUCCAUGGAAACGAUUUCUCAAAUUCAAAGCGCAUUGCUUUGAACAUGCUUCUUGCAUUAUGUUUCUUU
rnacentral:lncRNA from 1 species